rnacentral:lncRNA from 1 species
ACAGAAGGCUUACCCUGAUCAGGUAAUAGUCUCUCUUGAAACCAACGCAGAUAGAAUUUUCACACCAUGCCAUGGACUUGGGCACAUCUGGCACACUAAAGUCUCCCUGGAUAAAGAGAAUAGGAGUUCAACUGAGAAGAUGUUAAAACAGGAUGGGAUGAGAUUCAUGUUUUCUGUUAUAUUACUUCCAUUCUGCAAAAUACCCUCUACCCAUACCUGAGCACAAUUCUUUUUUUUUUAAUUUUUUUAUUAGAUAUUUUCUUCAUUUACAUUUCAAAUGCUAUCCCAAAAGUCUCCUAUACCUUCCCCCGCCCUGCUCCCCUACCCACUUACUCCCACCUCUUGGCCCUGGUGUUCCCCUGUACUGGGGCAUAUCAAGUUUGCUAGACCAAGGGGCCUCUAUUCCCAAUGAUGGCUGACUAGGCCAUCUUCUGCUACAUAUGCAGCUAGAGACACGAGCUCGGGGGUACUGGUUAGUUCAUAUUGUUGUUCCACCUAUAGGGUUGCAGACCCUUUCAGCUCUUAGGUACUUUCUCUAGCUCCUACAUUGGGGGCCCUCUGUUCCAUCCUAUAGAUGACUGUGAGCAUCCACUUCUGUAUUUGCCAGGCACUAGUAUAGCCUCACAGGAGACAGCUAUAUCAGGGUCCUUUCAGCAAAAUUCUGCUGGUGUAUGCAAUAGUGUCUGCCGUUAGUGCUGAGCACAAUUCUUGAAGAACUAUAUAAAUAAAAUACAAAUAAGGUCUGGGCUUAGUUCUAGCACUUGGGAGGCAAAGGCAGGCAGAUUUCUGUGAGUUCAAGGCCAGCCUGGUCUACAUUAUCAAGUUCCAAGAAAUCCAGAGCUACCUAGAGAUCCUGUCUCAAAACAAUAACAAAAGAAAACCAACCAACCAAUAAACAAUAUGAGUCACCCUAAUAAGAAUAUAAAUCACCCAGGAACUGGAAAAAGUGCAGGAAAGGUUCCCUUAGAAGAGACAAGAUAAAGUGCAGGAAUGCUGUGGAAUUGUGGGCACAAAUAAGCAGGCCUAGGACUCUGCAUCAGUGUCUGCCUGGGGAGAACCUCAAGCUGGGGUUAACUAGAUCUAACCAGGAGGCUCAAGCCGGGGCUAACUAGAUCUAACCAGGAGGCUCAAGCCGGGGCUAACUAGAUCUAACCAGGAGGCUCGAGGCUAGCUACAGUGCCAGCUCCCACCCUGCCUGCACAGCAGGCACAGUGGACGUUACCUGCAGUUCGUGGAAUUCUCUGUCCUUCCAGAAGUACAGCUGCAGCUUCUUCCUCACUGCCACACACAUCCGCAACACCUCCUCACCCGUCUCAGUGUGCUGAGGAGAGACGCCUGAGCCAGUGAGGAUUUGAUGACUCCAUGGCACAGCAGCAAGCAGACUGGCGAGUCCCUACCUCAACUUGAAUGCAAAUCUGCAAAUCCCCUGCACCUUAAAGCCCCACUGCCACAGCUGGGCGGAGGACCACCACUCUGUCAAAUGCUUAGACACAUCUGGUUCCAGAUGACUUCUCCACACGAGAAUUCCCAAUUCAGAAACAAAACCCAGAGUAGACUUCCCAUUUGAUAACUGCUCUCUCCCCAACUGCCUUUCCUUCAAUGUUUCUUGCCCAUGGCUGUCAUGAGUUGGUGACAACAGACUUGCUUAUAAUCCUUAGGAAGAAUUGGGAAGAGAAAACCCCCAGGCAGAGAGCGAUAAAGAGUGGAAGUGGGUUGCCAAAGCUAACAGUGAUCCCAGCUGAGAAGAAGCUGGGGAGUCAAAAGACAGAAGAUGAUGAACUGGCAGAAACAAGAUCUUUUUUUGAACAAUGAAAACUCUCUAAUGACAAAGACCAUGGCAAUCCUGCUUAGAACAAGUCAAUUUAAUAUCAUGAACAAGUUCAUGAUACUAUGUAAAGUCUUGCUUGCCUACUAAUGUUUGUCUGACAACCGUCUUUCCCUCUGGCUAGUCCCCUGUGACACACAAAUACCUGGCAUGUUAAUUAGCACAUGGGGAAUGCAAAUUCUGCAUCUCGUACCUCAUCUAACAAGAUCCAAAGCAAAGUACUCUCUCUGAAGGUUUUGGGUUUGGAUGUCAGAGUCGUCCUUCCAUGGAGUGGUAGGAACGUGGUGAUGUGGAGUCACAAAGCCAAGGUCCCCCUCAAGCACACUCACCUGGAGGUCACAGGUGAACAGUGAUGCGCCCUUGGCCUUUGAGACUGUAGUGAUUUGUUGAAAUGUCAGUAAGUCAUGGACAUAAAUGUUGUUUUCUGUUUGGGAGGAAGUACAACAUCACUAUGCCAGUCUCUGACAUAGUCUCUAAGAUAAAACCAAAAGAAGUAACUGUAACAUCUACAAGGAGAGAGCUGUAGCCCCUGGGUGAGAUGCACCUCCAGUCUCAUUAACAGCAACCACUCCGGACGCUCACAGUACACCUUCUGACCCGGGUGCUCUGACCCUCACGACUCUGCACUGGCUCACUUCAGCCCUACUGUAUGUGUCCUUCUCAUGGGUGGAAACACGUCAGCAGCUUUACCCAGGAAAUAACUUUCUGAGCUACGUAUGCUAGGAAGUUCCAAUUAGAAAAAAGAAAUUCUCUCUAGAUUUUGUAUAAACCAAGGCAAGGAUUUCUGCUUAAGCAAGACUAACAAAGGAAUGCAGUGGUCUCCCAUGAACCACUCACUUCUGAGACACCAGCCAGUGCCCAAAUCAGGAGAGCGCCAGACUCUGUAUUAAUCUCGUACUCACAUAACCUUUGAUAAAGCUUAACUUGGCAUAGUAAGAGAUUAAAAACAACUAACAACACAACAAUUAUAACCCAACAGCACCAGCACGUGAGUGCAGUCUCUCAGACUAUCUUAUUGCCAGCCAGCCCUCUUUCCUUCACAGAGGAAAACUGGGCAGGAGGACUACGGGGACAUCUGAACUAGAGCAGCUUCCUGCGGUGGGGACUUAGUGCGUAAUCUCACUGCAGACCCAGGGACUAAGUCUAAAGUGACUCUGCUAUUUAAGCCUCUGGCUAAACAGCACAGGGCCUGAGAUACGUUUCUACUCUUCAGCCUCUGGCUGCUUUGCAAGCCUGGGCUCUAACAAUUCUGGCCCCAUCUGUCUCUUGCUUAAUAGCGGGCCACUCUUCACCACCACACGUCCUAAGUCAGGCCACAAGGAACACCUGCUGCCACAUGAUGGCCUUGCUUAAGUUGUUCCUUGAUGGGCUGGAGAGAUGGCUCAGCGGUUAAGAGGCCUGAGUUCAAGUCCCAGCAACCACAUGGUGAUUCACAACCAUCCAUAAUGAGAUCUGUCGCCCUAUUCUAAUGAAUCUGAAGACAGCUACAGUGUACUUAGAUAAUAAAUAAAUCUU